GUCAGGGCAUUGCAGAGCUCCUUGAUGGAUAAUAGGUCCUCAGUUGAGGGCAGAUUGAACUCUGAUUCCAGCAAUAUCGAUUCAGAGAAUCCCACUGACGCUAACGGAUCCGAUGGACAGAGUGAUCCUCCUGUAGCUUCUGACACUGAGAGUGUGUCCUCCGGUAGUACUUCUGAGGCUAUUAGUAAUAUUGUUGGUGGUGGACUAGUACAACGUGGACAGCGUGGGAUAAUGGUGCCUGCGCGGUUCUGGCAAGAGACUAACAAUAGACUCCGGCGCCAGCAAGAGCCUGGCUCCCCAGUCUCCAAGACUGUCGGAUUGAAAGGGUCCGUACCAACUAAACUUGUUGCACCCAAGAAGCUUACUGAUACCCCAGUAUCUUCACCAAAAGGAGUUGUGAAUGGUAGGGGACAGUUGUCUCCUAUUCGUGGUGGAGCAUUACGGCCUGCGUCGCCCAGUAAGCUUGGUACACUGUCCCCAAUGAGGGGAGUGAGCCCAUCAAGGAUGAGGAAUGCUGCGGGAGCUGUGGUGAGUAGCAAUUUAAGCAAUAUGAAUAAUACGCCUUCAAUUUUGAGCUUUGCUGCU
rnacentral:misc_RNA from 1 species